rnacentral:rRNA from 1 species
AUUGAACGCUGGCGGCAUGCCUUACACAUGCAAGUCGAACGGUAACAGGUCUUCGGAUGCUGACGAGUGGCGAACGGGUGAGUAAUACAUCGGAACGUGCCUAGUAGUGGGGGAUAACUACUCGAAAGAGUGGCUAAUACCGCAUGAGAUCUACGGAUGAAAGCAGGGGAUCGCAAGACCUGGUGCUACUAGAGCGGCGGAUGGCAGAUUAGGUAGUUGGUGGGGUAAAAGCUUACCAAGCCGACGAUCUGUAGCUGGUCUGAGAGGACGAUCAGCCACACUGGGACUGAGACACGGCCCAGACUCCUACGGGAGGCAGCAGUGGGGAAUUUUGGACAAUGGGCGAAAGCCUGAUCCAGCUAUGCCGCGUGCAGGAUGAAGGCCUUCGGGUUGUAAACUGCUUUUGUACGGAACGAAAAGCCCCGGGUUAAUACCCUGGGGUCAUGACGGUACCGUAAGAAUAAGCACCGGCUAACUACGUGCCAGCCGCCGCCGUAA